GACGAACGCUGGCGGCGUGCUUAACACAUGCAAGUCGAACGGAAAGGCCCUGCUUUUGUGGGGUGCUCGAGUGGCGAACGGGUGAGUAACACGUGAGUAACCUGCCCUUGACUUUGGGAUAACUUCAGGAAACUGGGGCUAAUACCGGAUAGGAGCUCCUGCUGCAUGGUGGGGGUUGGAAAGUUUCGGCGGCUGGGGAUGGACUCGCGGCUUAUCAGCUUGUUGGUGGGGUAGUGGCUUACCAAGGCUUUGACGGGUAGCCGGCCUGAGAGGGUGACCGGCCACAUUGGGACUGAGAUACGGCCCAGACUCCUACGGGAGGCAGCAGUGGGGAAUAUUGCACAAUGGGCGGAAGCCUGAUGCAGCAACGCCGCGUGCGGGAUGACGGCCUUCGGGUUGUAAACCGCUUUCGCCUGUGACGAAGCGUGAGUGACGGUAAUGGGUAAAGAAGCACCGGGUAACUACGUG
rnacentral:rRNA from 1 species